GAUGAACGCUAGCGGUGCGCCUAACACAUGCAAGUCGAGCGCCCUCACUUUGGGAACAAUUAGUUUGUUCCCAGUGUGAGGGAGCGGCGAACGGGUGAGUAACACGUUGGAACCUACCCCAGACUCAGGGAUAGCCCGCCGAAAGGUGGAUUAAUACCGGAUAGUCUCGUAAGAGUAAAGCUUUUGCGGUCUGGGAGGGGCCUGCGGCCUAUCAGCUAGUUGGUAAGGUAAUGGCUUACCAAGGCUAUGACGGGUAACUGGUGUGAGAGCAUGACCAGUCACAAUGGAACUGAGACACGGUCCAUACUCCUACGGGUGGCUG
rnacentral:rRNA from 1 species